UACGGGGGGGGGCGAGCGUUGUUCGGAAUUACUGGGCGUAAAGGGCUCGUAGGCGGCCAACUAAGUCAGACGUGAAAUCCCUCGGCUUAACCGGGGAACUGCGUCUGAUACUGGAUGGCUAGAGGUUGGGAGAGGGAUGCGGAAUUCCAGGUGUAGCGGUGAAAUGCGUAGAUAUCUGGAGGAACACCGGUGGCGAAGGCGGCAUCCUGGACCAAUUCUGACGCUGAGGAGCGAAAGCCAGGGGAGCAAACGGG
rnacentral:rRNA from 1 species